rnacentral:rRNA from 1 species
AGGAUCAUUACAGAGUUCGCGCCCGCAAGGGUAGACCUCCCACCCGUGUGUACCGUUACCAUGUUGCUUCGGCGGGCCGCCGCAAGGCCCCGGCUCCGGCUGGGUCGUGCCCGUCAGAGGACCCCCAAACCCUGAAUGUUAGUGUCGUCUGAGUUACUAUACAAUAGUUAAAACUUUCAACAACGGAUCUCUUGGUUCUGGCAUCGAUGAAGAACGCAGCGAAAUGCGAUAAGUAAUGUGAAUUGCAGAAUUCAGUGAAUCAUCGAAUCUUUGAACGCACAUUGCGCCCCUCGGUAUUCCGGGGGGCAUGCCUGUUCGAGCGUCAUUUCAACCCUCACGCCCCGCGUGGUCUUGGGCCCUGCCGGCGACGGCAGGCCCUAAAGCGAGUGGCGGCGCCUGAAGGCCCUGAACGUAGUACAAUCUCUCGUUACAGGCGCCCGACGGACGCUGGCCAGCAACCCCAACUUUCUAUGGUUGA